rnacentral:rRNA from 1 species
AGCAGCGCCGCGGGAAUACGAAGGGUGCAAGCGUUAAUCGGAAUUACUGGGCGUAAAGCGUGCGUAGGCGGUGAGUUAAGUCUGUUGUGAAAUCCCCGGGCUCAACCUGGGAAUGGCAAUGGAUACUGGCAAGCUAGAGUGUGUCAGAGGAUGGUGGAAUUCCCGGUGUAGCGGUGAAAUGCGUAGAGAUCGGGAGGAACAUCAGUGGCGAAGGCGGCCAUCUGGGACAACACUGACGCUGAGGCACGAAAGCGUGGGGAGCAAACAGGAUUAGAUACCCGUGUAGUCCCUGUCUCUUAUACA